rnacentral:rRNA from 1 species
AGUGAACGCUGGCGGUAGGCCUAACACAUGCAAGUCGAACGGCAGCACAGUAAGAGCUUGCUCUUACGGGUGGCGAGUGGCGGACGGGUGAGGAAUACAUCGGAAUCUACUUUUUCGUGGGGGAUAACGUAGGGAAACUUACGCUAAUACCGCAUACGACCUACGGGUGAAAGCAGGGGACCUUCGGACCUUGCGCGAUUGAAUGAGCCGAUUUCGGAUUAGCUAGUUGGCGGGGUAAAGGCCCACCAAGGCGACGAUCCGUAGCUGGUCUGAGAGGAUGAUCAGCCACACUGGAACUGAGACACGGUCCAGACUCCUACGGGAGGCAGCAGUGGGGAAUAUUGGACAAUGGGCGCAAGCCUGAUCCAGCCAUACCGCGUGGGUGAAGAAGGCCUUCGGGUUGUAAAGCCCUUUUGUUGGGAAAGAAAAGCAGCAGGUUAAUACCCCGCUGUUCUGACGGUACCCAAAGAAUAAGCACCGGCUAACUUCGUG